rnacentral:rRNA from 1 species
UACGUAGGUGGCAAGCGUUGUCCGGAAUUAUUGGGCGUAAAGCGCGCGCAGGCGGUCCUUUAAGUCUGAUGUGAAAGCCCACGGCUCAACCGUGGAAGGUCAUUGGAAACUGGAGGACUUGAGUACAGAAGAGGAAAGCGGAAUUCCACGUGUAGCGGUGAAAUGCGUAGAGAUGUGGAGGAACACCAGUGGCGAAGGCAGCUCGCUGGGACGGUACUGACGCUGAGACGCGAAAGCGUGGGGAGCAAACAGG